rnacentral:rRNA from 1 species
GAAUCUUCCGCAAUGGGCGAAAGCCUGACGGAGCGACGCCGCGUGGAGGACGAAGGCCUUCGGGUUGUAAACCCCUGUCACGGGUGAUGAAUGCCGUGGCGUGAACAGCGCCACGGUUGACGUAGGCCCGAGAGGAAGCACUGGCUCACUCGGUGCCAGCCGCCGCAGUAAUACGGGGAGUGCGAACGUUGUUCGGAAUUACUGGGCUUAAAGCGCACGUAGGGGGCGCCGCAAGUGUGGGGUGAAAGCCCACGGCUUACCCGUGGAAUUGCCUGGCAGACUGCGGUGCUAGAGGAUGGUAGGGGAGAGCGGAACUCCUGGUGGAGCGGUGAAAUGCGUAGAUAUCAGGAGGAACACCGGUGGCGAAGGCGGCUCUCUGGUCCAUUUCUGACGCUGAGGUGCGAAAGCUAGGGGAGCAAACGGG